rnacentral:rRNA from 1 species
GACAGAGGGUGCAAGCGUUGUUCGGAAUUACUGGGCGUAAAGGGCGCGUAGGCGGUCUGUUAAGUUCGGUGUGAAAUCCCCUGGCUCAACUGGGGAACUGCGCUGGAAACUGGCAGACUCGAGUACCGGAGAGGAGAGUGGAAUUCCUGGUGUAGCGGUGAAAUGCGUAGAUAUCAGGAGGAACACCGGUGGCGAAGGCGGCUCUCUGGACGGAUACUGACGCUGAGGCGCGAAAGCGUGGGGAUCAAACAGG